rnacentral:rRNA from 1 species
AACGAACGCUGGCGGCAUGCCUAACACAUGCAAGUCGAACGAGACCUUCGGGUCUAGUGGCGCACGGGUGCGUAACGCGUGGGAAUCUACCCUCAGGUUCGGAAUAACUCAGAGAAAUUUGAGCUAAUACCGGAUGAUGACGUAAGUCCAAAGAUUUAUCGCCUGAGGAUGAGCCCGCGUAGGAUUAGGUAGUUGGUGAGGUAAAGGCUCACCAAGCCGACGAUCCUUAGCUGGUCUGAGAGGAUGAUCAGCCACACUGGGACUGAGACACGGCCCAGACUCCUACGGGAGGCAGCAGUGGGGAAUAUUGGACAAUGGGCGAAAGCCUGAUCCAGCAAUGCCGCGUGAGUGAUGAAGGCCUUAGGGUUGUAAAGCUCUUUUACCCGGGAUGUUAAUGACAGUACCGGGAGAAUAAGCUCCGGCUAACUCCGUG